GAAAAUUCAUGCUGAAAUACCAACAACUUGGAACAGAGACAUCAUCUCAGUCAUACCUGUAGCAUCACCAGGCUCUACGAGACAAAGAGAAGAGCUACAGGAAGAAAUUUAAAAUCUAAGAAGUUCCAACAGUGCUGGUUUCAACAAACUCUAUCCUAGGGCAGAAACCCUGGGAGCAUAAUGAUUUUAAUUGCCUAGAAGCAUAUUAAUGGAAUUAUAUUAAUAAUUCCACUCAGCCCAUCAGGUAUAAUAUGAAAAUCCUAAUAAAUGCCUCCUGACUGUGAAUUUGCCAUUUUGCUGUGCCAAAUUCCUUACUGGUGUAGGCAAUUGGUUUCCAUUUCUCCCCUCAGAUAUGUCACAUACUCCUGAUACCUUGGGGCCCUACUCAGUGCCUCAACCACCCUUCUUCAGGACCAAGCAAGCAAAGAAAAAGAAUCAAGCUGCUCCCAAAUGUCACUGCUAAACAUCACUCCAGAACUUUAACAAAGUCAUUUUCUUUAAAAUUACCCAUCAUUAAAAGUGGCUGUUGGGGUUUAUCCUGAUUAGCCAGCUGUGCUGCAGAAGCCUGGUGCUACCCCAGCCUACUCCCAGCUGCCUCCUCCCCAAGAUAACAUUAACUACAUGAAAGUCUUCGCCAGACUUUCUGUAACUGUUAGUAAUUUUCAGUGCUUUUCUCCACCCAGUGUUUGUCUGAGCAGAGGACGGCAGGGAGGUUUAUCUGAAAUUGCUCAAGCCACUAAUCCCAGGCUACCACUUGGUCUGUUCUUCUCCCAGCGAGCAUUGAUGCUGUAGGGAUUUGAAUGAUUUGUUUGGUGCUGUGAAGCCAAAAUCCAUCAGGUGAGCGAUUCCUUUGAAAUCAGUGAGUUAUCUUGCUUAGCCAGGGCAGUAACAUUUGACUCUGUGUCUGUGCUGCAGAGCAGUAUGAAGCUGCAUUAAAAGUGAGAUAAAUCUUUGAUUUUGGAUUUUCUUCCCCACAUGGAUUUCAGCGUACAGCUGGGGAUGUGCCUAGUGGUAAGAGAGCAAGACCAGCAACUGGGAGCCUGGUCUUCUAUUCCUGGCUCAGCCCCAAUUCGCUCUGUGACUGUGCGCAAAUCGCUUAAGCUGUCUCUGGGAUAAUAAUCGACACAGCGAUUCUAGGACGCUUAAUUUUUAAAGUGUCAACUCAUAUAUUUUCUCUGAUGUGCCUCAGGAGAUGUCCUUUUCCCUUCACUGGGAGCAGGAGCAGGGCCUUAGUACUGACAGCAAGAUUUGCAACCCCUGACCCCUUCUUCCCCAGUCUGCCAUAACUACUUCAUACAAAAUGUUUAAUAAUAAUAGUAAUGCCAGAAAUGCUGUCCCAGAGCUCUGAAAGCCUCUUAUUUUC
rnacentral:lncRNA from 1 species